GCCGGGAAACCACAGCAUCAUGACGUCACGAUGCACCAUGACGUAAAACGCUGACUGUCUGUCGCCGGUGUAGUUAUGCGCAUGCGCGCCUUUUUACCCUGGCUUGUUUUCUUUUCGCUGGUACCAUCAUUUUCUUUGUCAGCGACCAAGUUUCUUUCUCUUCAUAUUGUCCCCAUUACCUGACCUUGCAAAUCCGGGCUAUCACUGCAUUACUGAGGGAGUGCUGCACUGUUAGAGAGUCUUUUUGGAUGAAGUGUUAUACCAAGGCCUAUCGACUGUAGAUAUUUUCUGAUCACCCUUUUCAGAGACGUUAUUACACACUUCUGGAGCAGUAUGAAACCCCAAAGCAUUUCUGCGGUCUUUUCAGCUUCAACUAGGGAAACAGGCAGGUAUACAGACUGUGAGAUGUCACUCAACAGGGCAUUCCUGCAGAAUGGAAAAUGGUCACAUGCACAAGGACCUUCUGUAUGUUGAAGUUACCAGAGCUAGACCACCCAAUGGUGUUGGAUAAAAGCAGGAGCGGAGUUGGAACAAUGCUGUUAAAUAACCUGCCAGUGCUCGGUUAGAAGACUACCAAAAAUUGAAAGUAAAACAGUGUAUUUUAGAAAUGCUGAAACACUGCACAACAAAGUGAAAAAACAACACUACAGCCAAGUUAUUUAUUCAUGGCUCAGAAUAACUGAAAGUUGCCAAAUAUCUUGGGUGUGAACAUGUUACUGGACAAACUCUCUGGCACUGACUUCUGAAGAAACUCCUGAGAAUCUAGUUGGCUUUGUGGUGGGUCUUGGAUGAACACAUUUUUGUUUGAAAAGAUCAUCUUGAAACAGUGUAUUUUGAUUUCUGCAGGAUGCCAAUAUGCAAAAAUGCCAACAAAAAAAUAAAAAAAUUCACUAGCA